GAGGGUAUAGCUCAGUGGUUAGAGUGCAUGCUUAGGAUGCAGGAGGUCCUGGGUUCAAUCCCUAGUACCUCUA